rnacentral:lncRNA from 1 species
UUAGGUGUGUGGGGUUUCAGCAAACUCACUUAAGCAAACAGCAAUAUUUGACAUAAUUUUAAUCAUUUACCAGGAAGUAAAUGAGAACAGAAGCUGAGAUUGCUGUGGCAGAACAUUUGAGAGCGGAAGAUGGAGCUUAAGGGUCUCAGUUUACCUUCUACCUCUAGGUCAGCUCAGAAGACUGAAGUUUGUAAGAUCUCCCAUCCACAAUCAGGUUGAUUUUGAAAUUCCUUCCAAAGCAUUUUCUUACACUUGUUUUUCGGUGAGUGUUCUUUCAGAGCUAGUCACAAACUGGAACAU